rnacentral:rRNA from 1 species
GAUGAACGCUGGCGGCGUGCCUAAUACAUGCAAGUCGAGCGAAUGGAUUAAGAGCUUGCUCUUAUGAAGUUAGCGGCGGACGGGUGAGUAACACGUGGGUAACCUGCCCAUAAGACUGGGAUAACUCCGGGAAACCGGGGCUAAUACCGGAUAACAUUUUGAACCGCAUGGUUCGAAAUUGAAUGGCGGCUUCGGCUGUCACUUAUGGAUGGACCCGCGUCGCAUUAGCUAGUUGGUGAGGUAACGGCUCACCAAGGCAACGAUGCGUAGCCGACCUGAGAGGGUGAUCGGCCACACUGGGACUGAGACACGGCCCAGUCUCCUACGGGAGGCAGCAGUAGGGAAUCUUCCGCAAUGGACGAAAGUCUGACGGAGCAACGCCGCGUGAGUGAUGAAGGCUUUCGGGUCGUAAAACUCUGUUGUUAGGGAAGAACAAGUGCUAGUUGAAUAAGCUGGCACCUUGACGGUACCUAACCAGAAAGCCACGGCUAACUACGUGCCAGCCGCCGCAGUAA